UACGUAGGGGGCAAGCGUUGUCCGGAAUCAUUGGGCGUAAAGAGCGCGUAGGCGGUCCGGUAAGUCCGCUCUGAAAGUCCGGGGCUCAACCCCGGGAGGCGGGCGGAUACUGUCGGGCUAGAGUCCGGAAGAGGCGAGUGGAAUUCCUGGUGUAGCGGUGAAAUGCGCAGAUAUCAGGAGGAACACCAAUGGCGAAGGCAGCUCGCUGGGACGGUACUGAGGCUGAGGCGCGAAAGCGUGGGGAGCAAACAGG
rnacentral:rRNA from 1 species